rnacentral:misc_RNA from 1 species
AAAGUCGUAACAAGGUAACCGUAGGUGAACCUGCGGUUGGAUCAUUAACAAAUGAUGGCUGGUUGGUUUGAGGGUCUUUGUGAUCCUUGCCGACCGGUACUAACCUCUGUGCACAAUCAUUGUAUUUGGGUGCUAGGAUUGCGGGUUUCCACCUGCAGUCGGAUCACCCGCCAUAUAAACCACUGUAACUUUGUCUGAUUUUUGUUUCUAAAUGAAUCAAUAAUAACUUUUAACAACGGAUCUCUUGGCUCUC